CGUCGGAGAAGUGUCCGCCCCG
rnacentral:siRNA from 1 species